GAUGAACGCUGGCGGCGUGCUUAACACAUGCAAGUCGAACGGAAAGGCCCAAGCUUGCUUGGGUACUCGAGUGGCGAACGGGUGAGUAACACGUGGGUGAUCUGCCCUGCACUUCGGGAUAAGCCUGGGAAACUGGGUCUAAUACCGGAUAGGACCACAUUUUGGAUGGUGUGGUGGAAAGUUUUUCGGUGUGGGAUGAGUUCGCGGCCUAUCAGCUUGUUGGUGGGGUAAUGGCCUACCAAGGCGUCGACGGGUAGCCGGCCUGAGAGGGUGUACGGCCACAUUGGGACUGAGAUACGGCCCAGACUCCGACGGGAGGCAGCAGUGGGGAAUAUUGCACAAUGGGCGCAAGCCUGAUGCAGCGACGCCGCGUGGGGGAUGACGGCCUUCGGGUUGUAAACUCCUUUCGCUAGGGACGAAGCGUUAUGUGACGGUACCUGGAGAAGAAGCACCGGCUAACUACGUG
rnacentral:rRNA from 1 species